GAAGUGUCACACCCGUUCCCAUUCCGAACACGGAAGUUAAGCCUUCUAACGCCGAUGAUACUGCCCCCUGAGGGGUGGGAAAGUAGGAAGUUGCCAGGC
rnacentral:rRNA from 1 species